GCGGAUAUAGUUUACACAAAACACUAGAUUGUGAAUCUAGAGACAGAAUAUAAAAACUCUUAUCCACC
rnacentral:tRNA from 1 species